GCAGAACAUGUACAGGGCGGAGCUUCACAUGUCGUGAAACAUAACACUGGCAGCGCAACUAGUUUGGUUCAGUCUGGCACGCCAGGAACUCAAAGGCUACUCGUGCUCUGACGCUGGGUUAAUACAGCUUAGAAACCUAGUCCAAUUACCAUGAAGAGCGGAGGAGAAAUCAAACUGAAGAGAAAGAGCUCAAUGUGAAUGUGAACAGGGAGACUGACAGCAUGCACAGAGAUGCGCGCGACGCACUUGCGGGCUCAGUGUUCAGCGCGAGAUAGUCUUUUCUAAUCUUAUCUUUAAGCCGUUUGUUAUUACUCCACUAAAAGGCAGCGACUGUGAUUUCCUUCAUCAGAUUAGACUUUUCUGGGACUAUCCUUUGCAGCUCGGACCUUAUCAUGGAGACGUAUACGGACGUCUUGCUAGUCACUGCAAACGUUGGAUCACUGUUUGACAAUGUGGGUGAGAUUGAAAAAGACUGGCUGCGAGAGCUCUUCACGACGGUACACAGGUACAAGCCAUGCUUCGUCGCCCUACACUUUCAGGAAGUCGGUGGAAAGGACUAUAUGGUUAACAUGGGCCACGCAGAAAACUUCUUCUGGACCGUAGAGUCCAGCUCUGAGAUGAAAGACUUUGACAGAGUUUGUGUCUAUGUAGACAGUCAUUUCAAGGCUGUUGACAGUUUCACGGCUCUGGGAAGCAUGUAUUUCAUCCACAAGUCACUGAAAAAUAUCCAACAAUACGACUUCAAUGCUAAGGAGUUUAAAACCGUGUCGGGGCACAACAUGUAUGUGGGCUCCCUGGAGGGAGUAACAACGGUGGAAAAGGAGAAAUUCCCGAAGAAUUUCUGGCCAGAUUUCAAGUGGUCCAGAAAAGGCUAUAUGAGGACACGGUGGAUCAUUCACAACCAGGGUUUAGACCUGGUGAAUGUUCACCUAUUUCACGAUGCCUCCAACCUCAUAGCCUGCAACUCUAGUCCGUCAGUGUAUUCUGCAAACCGCGAGAAAGCUUUCAGAUACGUCAUCAACAGGAUAUCAGAGAGCAGCUACUGUCCUCUCCCCUUCUUUCUGUUUGGAGAUUUUAAUUUCCGGCUUGACACACUCAGUCUAGUGCAGAACCUCUCCAUGUCUGCUGAUAUCCAGACAGUUAAAAAAGACAGUACCAAUGAGGUGGAAAAGAUCAUUUGUGAAGAGAAAGACAAUGACCACAAGGUCCUACUUCAGAUAGAGACCAAGUUAUUUGCUUACUUGCACGAGGCCGUGUUCAGAGAAAAUGACGGAAAAGAGCUCCUGAAGUAUGAUAAGGAAAUGUCUGCUUUCCAUGAUGUCAUCGCAGAGGAGGAUAUUCAGUUUCCUCCAAGUUACCCGUACAGUGAAGACUACACUAAACCUACACAAUACAUGAACACACGAUGCCCAGCAUGGUGUGACCGCAUCCUAAUGUCCCACAGUGCGAGAGACAUCAUCCAUCGGAGGGAGGAGGGUGAAAGUGUUGUUUAUAACACAUUGGGCUCCAACGUCUGCAUGGGGGACCACAAGCCUGUUUUCCUGUUUUUUACAAUGAAGACGAUUGCACAUUGACACACAGUUGUGUGAAUCAAAGGAACAAUCAUGAGUCUCAUGGAAUAAUUUAUUACACUUCUGAAUUCUACUUUUGUGUUCUUUUGAAGCUUGAAGAGGUGGUUUCUGUGUUGUUGACAUGAACCCAGAGUUUAUUCCGUGGACAGCUGGACCAGUCAUUCCAUGGCUGUACAACAAGCACACGCUCUUUGCUCAUUCACACAGGCGGUCAAUAAACAGACCUCUGCAAAACUCAUUCAGAUGCAGCGCACCACAGAGGACCCUGAAAUCUCCUGUCAAAUUCAGUGGACACACACCACAGGACCUGUUUAUAUUCCGACAGCUAUGUUCUCUGGUUAUAUUUUCAUCAUGUUUUGGAUUUCAGAACUUCACAAAUGCUCAAUGUGACUUCAGGAAUCUCUGAACAUAAAUACAUACUCGUGUAUGUAGAGAAACAGCUCUCAAGUCACGUCUUGAAGCUCUUUACUCCUCACAUUUACAAGCAAUUAAGCUUUAGACUUUGCAUAGAGGAUGUAACCUCGUGCAAAUUGUAAUUGCAUGCUUUUUCAAUUACAGCACAAUUCAUUUUCUUUUAUUCAUUGUUUUUGGAAGGAUUUGAAUACAAGUAUGCUGACAAUUACACCAUAUCCAAACGUGAGCUGCUGUGACACACAAGCUUUGGCUUCUGUAUUAAUUCAUCAUCGUUUUUCUUUGACAGUCAUGUUCGGUUUCUUAUGUGUGCUGAGUGUAUGAGUGUGGUUUGAUGCAGUAGUCUUUAAUAGGGAACAUUCUGGUAAAACACUGAAUAAUUUACUCACCCGCAUGUCGUUCCAUACCUGUAUGACUUUCUUUCUUCCGUGGAACACAAAAGGAGACGUUAGACAGAAUGUUCAGUCUCAGUCAUUGCAUGGGUGGGGGGGAAAUGCAAUGGAAGUGGUGACUGAGGCUAACGUCUCUUGUCGUGUUCCACGAAAGAAAAAGAGUCAUACUGCUUUGGAACAACAUGAGAGUGAGUAAAUGAUGACAUAAUUUUCAUUUUUGGGUAAACUGUUCCUUUAAGCCUCAGCAGUUAUAGCUGUCAUCUUCUCUUAAGCUCCAGUCAUUGUCUCUGUGGGGUUGUUAGUCAGACACUCGGAUCAAUAGAAUAUGUACAGGACAGCAAGGGACAAGUUAAAAAGCCAUUAGCACUUGUGAAUUAUGGAAAUCCCACACAAAGAGUCCUGGCCUGGAAGCGCCCCUGACUUUUAAUUAGAGCACUAGUGCAAUGCCGAAUGAUAAUGUGGAGUGUAGCAUUCAGAGAUGUGUGUACAGUAUGUGUGUUUUUAACAAUUUCUAAUCCAUGAUGAGGUGUGUUUUAAUUUGGUUUGAAUUUCUGUGUUGGGUUCUGUGACAGAUUACAGUGCAUUUUCAGUGCUAAAAUCAUAAAAUAAAAGUUGCAUUAUUUUCUUUAACAAAGAAUAUGCACAUCAAAUAAUGUACAGUUGAUUCAGUGUAGUCCGCUGAAGCAAUUGUCUUGGUAAUGUGCUGUCCAACAUGCACAUUUUCAAACCAAGUUUUUAUUUCCAGGACAAAUGCUUUUAGAGAAAUAAGCGUCUAAUACGCCUGUUUGGAAAUGAAUGCUGAUGUCAGUUAAUGGCUUAGAACAAACCACUUAAAGGUGAAGUGUGUCAUUUCUGCGCCACUAGAGCCACCAAAUGCAGUCACAAAAAAAUUAUGUUUUCAAACAGGUUUCCCAAACACUCCCCUUAUCUGCCAUUGGUCUGACAAAAAUUUGUCACUCCUGGUAUUUGGGAACUGAUAACUGGUUCUUAUUCGGAACUGGAUCCAUUUUUUUAUUUUUUUUAUUUUUUUACAAAUGCAGAAACCAAAUAAUUUUCAUAUCUUUCGGUUCUGUUAGCAGUUCUUGAAUGUGCAUUUUUCUGCCAAUGUGGAUGGAACAGCGUACUAAAAUACUCUAACAGUGUUUCUUGCUGUGCUAUUCAGCAUCAGCGCUGCCUCUCUACUGAAUCUACAGCACGAAACACACAGUACAGUCCAGUUCCCGAAUGAAUGACUCUUAUGAGCCGUUUCAUAUGAAUAUAGUGCGAAACACACAGCACUACAAGUGUAGUUUGCUUUCCAAACAAACAACUUUCAUGAGCUGGUUCCUUAGAAACAUACUGCAAAACCAGUGUAGUCCAAUUCCUAAACGAAUGCCUCUUAUGAGUCGAUUUUUUUAAAUUUACAGCAUGAAACACACAGCACGACCAGUGUAGUCCAAUUCCCAAAUGACUGACUCUCAUGAGCUUUUUCUUAUGAAUCUAGAGCGCAAAACAAACAAUGCUGGAAGUGUUGUACACUUUCCAAACAAUUGACUCUGAUGAGCUUUUUCUUCUGAAUAAGCGCAAAACACAACCCUACAAGUCUAGUACGUUUUCCAAAAAAUUUACUAUUAUGAGCUUUUUCUCAUGAAUCUAGAGUGCGAAAUGCAGCACUACAAGUGUAGUCCGAUUCCGAACAAAUGACUCUUAUGAGCCGGUUCUUCAGAAUCGACAGCGCGAAACAUAAAGUGCAACCAGUGUAGUCUGAUUCCCAAACAAAGGACUCUUUUGAGCUAGUUAUUUUUAGUGAAUCAAAAACACUGAGAUUCAGAAAUUACAGGUUACUGAAUUAAUCUCACUGACCUAGAAGUCAUGAUAAUAAUGAAAUGUUAGCUAAAUUUUUGUUUGAAUAGAAUAUUGAAUAUAGUUAGAGUACACUCAAAAAAUGAAGCCAUUACCCUUAAUUGAAUUUGAGAAAGUUUUUACAUACAAUUUAAUUUAGUUAAUUCAUAUUAAGUCAACAUAAUUUAGUUAAAUUAGGUCAAUUCAAUGUACUUUAGUAGUUUUAACUCAAUUUUGUUAGGUUCGUACUCAAUUUAAUAAUGUUUAUUUUAAUUAAUCUUCUUAUGUUGGUACAACUUAAUUUAUUUUAUUAAUCAUUAAUACAUGCCAGGCGAGCAAGUGUAAGGACAGUGAAAUGGUUGCACUGUCAAUUUGAUAGCAGCUGCUUAUAGAGCUAAGCAGUACUUGAAUCAAGACUCACUUGAAAGUGUAAGUUCAUCCUCAACCUAAGCACAAAUGGCAAUCUUCACCACAGUGGUAACCUCCAAAACUCCAGCCUUACAAAACUCUAUUUGAAUACCAAUAUAAUAGAACAUUAAACAUUAACAAAUCUCCUCCUAUUCUCAGCUGGCUCAAACAUGCAUAAAAUAACACUUAAUUUCAAUAUUUGUUCACCCCAUCAAGUCCCAUCCAAAGCAUGCUGGGAAAUGGAAAUCCCCUGCCCAGUUUCAUUAAUGUUACAAAAAGUAUUCAUGUAGUCCCAACUCAAAUGGAUUAAGUAAACUUAAAAUUUACAAAUUUAAUUAGAUGGAAUGCAAUGAAAUCAAGUUGUGACAAAAUGUUCUAGAAUUGUGUUAAGUAAACUGAACAACCUUCAAAAAUAAAUGGAAAGGAACACACGCCAUUGGUUGAGUCAGUGUUGCUACAGCAUGUCGGGCUGCUCAAACAAACAGAGCAAUAUUUUAUAGUCACAGAGACACACUGUUUUACAGUUUUCAGGGAAAUCAACCUGCAAAUAGCUUACUUAUUGUUGUCUCUAUUAAGAGAAAAUGUUAACAUCGAAAAAAUUUACACACUUCACCUUUAACAAGAUGUUGUUCUGACAAAACCUCGAUGCUGUCUGAUAAAUUCAUCUUCACUGAAAACUGGUAGCUGUUUGUUUUAAUAUUGAUGUAAAUGAAUAUGUUCAGUUGCCCCUGAAUAGAUUGGUUUUUCUUGCUGUUUGAGAUUUAGUAUAGAAAAAUUCAGGAUAAUCAUUUAAAAGUAGAUGUGAUGUGCACGUUCAUAUUAUAGGAUUCUGUGUGGUAAUAUACUGGUGUGUACAUUGCUUUAAGCAUAUCUCAUAUGUUUGGUUUGUAAUUUUUGUUUGGAUUGACUUGUAAAUACUCGAUAGGCUGCAUAAUUUAUGUGUGAGGGUUAAAUUGUACGGCCCACCUGUCAAUAAUGGACUUGUUGUAGCUGAUUCAUGAUAUGGUUGACAUAAUUUACUGUUCUCGAGGGCAUCACUUCAAACUGUGCUUCAAUAGGAGGCAAUGGAGUCGGAAUAGGAAUGGCAUUGAUGUAAUUUAGCAUUUGCGAUUAUACAAAGAAACACUACAGUCUUAUGAGAUGUAAUUUAUGUGUCUUUUAGAGCACUGUUAUUAGCAUGCUAAGUACAAAGUGUAUGUAGCCAUUCAUGUUUGCACUUGUUUUGGGGAAUUCGUUUGCAAUGUUUUCAAGAUGUUAGCACAUGUAGAACACAGUAAAAAGGGAGUUUCUUCAAUAGCAGUUAACAUUGCUUAUUUUGAUGUUAACCUUUUUAAAAGUUAUUUUUACCUUCUUUGUCUUUCUGACUUUUUCUAAUAAAUUUAACUUUGUGACAAAAAUGAGGCAAUGUCAUGGGGUCAACCCUGAAUCAAUGCAAAAUAGAAUAAUAUAUAUCAUACAGUGUCUAUCCAUGCAUUGAGAAGAUGGAUUACGUUGUGGUGUGAAAGUUUAAGAUUAAUGCUAACUGCAGGACCAGUGUGUCGAUACAGGUUCCAGACGUUUGGCAUUGGGAAAUUAUGAGUUGUUGUGAAAUCCAUUCAGUGUAAAUGCAUGAAGAAAUUUUACAUGAACAGCCAUAUUCAUACCACAGCCUGCAAAAUAUGAAAAUUGUUGACAUGUAAGCAUCACAUUCUCCGUGAUGAUUCUGUUUUCAUGAUAUUAUUUAGUAAUGUUCUGUUAUUGUCCUAUUUAAUGCAGCUAAGCAGACACAGUCAAAUAUAUAUAUAUAUAUAUAUAUAUAUAUAUAUAUAUAUAUAUAUAUAUAUAUAUUUAGGUUUUUAAAAUUUAAUUAAAUUAAAACAGUACUCAAUUCAAUUUGAUGCAAUAUUGUUAUAAAAUUAAAAAUGCAUAAAUCUUUAAAUUAUUUUUAUUAUUAUUAUUAUUAUUAUUAUUAUUAUUAUUUUGAGCAUAUAAGCGUUUCUUGACCUUCUAAGUGAUGUAAGUACACAAUGUUUAAUACAGUGCCAAAUAUGACCAUCUCUUUCUUUUUCCUCUUCCUUUUAUUCAGUUUUUCCUCCAGGAUGUCAGUUGUAAUGUAUAGCACAGUGGUGUUAGAUGCAGUAAGAUUGUUGCAGUGUUCUCUAGCUGUACCUCAGGUGCUGCUGAAAGUUGGAAUGGCCGAAAACGGUCUUGAGACCCCCUUAUUAUUACUUUCUGCAGCACAAAUGAAUGUUUUUCUUAAAUAUGUUAUGUUAAAGUUUUGUUUCCUAAUAAAAUGUAUAUAUUAAACAACUGAAGUAUGCACUGGCAAGAAUUU